GACGAACGCUGGCGGCGUGCUUAACACAUGCAAGUCGAACGGAAAGGCCCCCUUGUGGGGUACUCGAGUGGCGAACGGGUGAGUAACACGUGAGUAACCUACCCUUGACUUUGGGAUAACUUCAGGAAACUGGGGCUAAUACCGGAUAGGAGCUCCUGCUGCAUGGUGGGGGUUGGAAAGUUUCGGCGGUUGGGGAUGGACUCGCGGCUUAUCAGCUUGUUGGUGGGGUAGUGGCUCACCAAGGCUUUGACGGGUAGCCGGCCUGGGAGGGUGACCGGCCCCAUGGGGCCGGGGGAAGGGCCCGGACUCCUACGGGGGGAAGGGGUGGAGAAUAUUCCAAAAUGGGCGGAGGCGUGGUGCAGCACCGCCGGGUGGGGGAUGACGGCCUUCGGGUUGUAAACCGUUUUCGCCUGUGACGAAGCGUGGGUAAGGUAAAUGGGUAAAAAACCACCGGUAAACUCGUG
rnacentral:rRNA from 1 species